CAAACGACUCUCGGCAACGGAUAUCUCGGCUCACGCAUCGAUGAAGAACGUAGCAAAAUGCGAUACUUGGUGUGAAUUGCAGAAUCCCGUGAACCAUCGAGUUUUUGAACGCAAGUUGCGCCCAAAGCCACUCGGCUGAGGGCACGCCUGCCUGGGCGUCACGC
rnacentral:rRNA from 1 species